rnacentral:ncRNA from 1 species
AGAAGGGAAUGAAGUUCUCCCUGGGAUCAUACCUAAACCGCUAUAAGCUGAUGACUUCUACAA